rnacentral:rRNA from 1 species
CCUACGGGAGGCAGCAGUGAGGAAUAUUGGUCAAUGGGCGAGAGCCUGAACCAGCCAAGUCGCGUGAGGGAGUACUGCCCUAUGGGUUGUAAACCUCUUUUGUCGGGGAGCAAAAGCCGGACGUGUCCGGCUGUGAGAGUACCCGAAGAAAAAGCAUCGGCUAACUCCGUGCCAGCAGCCGCGGUAAUACGGAGGAUGCGAGCGUUAUCCGGAUUUAUUGGGGUAAAAGGGUGCGCAGGCGGAUUUUUAAGUCAGCGGUCAAAUCGUGGGGCUCAACCCCAUCCAGCCGUUGAAACUGGGGAUCUAGAGUGUGCGAGAGGUAUGCGGAAUGCGUGGUGUAGCGGUGAAAUGCAUAGAUAUCACGCAGAACCCCGAUUGCGAAGGCAGCAUACCGGUGAACAACUGACGCUCAGGCACGAAAGCGUGGGUAUCGAACAGGAUUAGAUACCCGAGUAGUC